rnacentral:tRNA from 1 species
GAGGGUAUAGCUCAGUGGUAGAGUGCAUGCCUAGCAUGCACAAGGUUCUGGGUUCAAUCCCCAGGACCUACA